rnacentral:misc_RNA from 1 species
GAAAUGCGAUAAGUAAUGUGAAUUGCAGAAUUCAGUGAAUCAUCGAAUCUUUGAACGCACCUUGCGCUGCUUGGUAUUCCUUGGAGCAUGCCUGUUUGAGUAUCAUGAAAUCUUCAAAGUAAAUCUUUUGUUAACUCAAUUGGUUUCUACUUUGGUAUUGGAGGUCUUUGCAGCUUCACACCUGCUCCUCUUUGUUCAUUAGCUGGAUCUCAGUGUUAUGCUUGGUUCCACUCGGCGUGAUAAGUUAUCUAUCGCUGAGGACACUGUAAAAGGUGGCCAAGGUAAAUGCAGAUGAACCGCUUCUAAUAGUCCAUUGACUUGGACAAUACUUUUAUGAUCUGAUCUCAAAUCAGGUAGGACUACCCGCUGAACUUAAGC